CCUACGGGCGGCAGCAGUGGGGAAUAUUGCACAAUGGGGGAAACCCUGAUGCAGCGACGCCGCGUGAGUGAUGAAGUAAUUCGUUAUGUAAAGCUCUAUUAGCAGGGAAGAAAAUGACCGUACCUGAGUAAUAAGCCCCGGCUAAUUACGUGCCAGCAGCCGCGGUAAUACGUAGGGGGCAAGGGUUAUCCGGAUUUACUGGGUGUAAAGGGAGCGUAGACGGUAGUGCAAGUCUGGAGUGAAAGGCGGGGGUGCAACCCCCGGACUGCUGUGGAAACUGUACGGCUGGAGUGCAGGAGAGGUAAGUGGAAUUCCUAGUGUAGCGGUGAAAUGCGUAGAUAUUAGGAAGAACACCAGUGGCGAAGGCAGCUUACUGGA
rnacentral:rRNA from 1 species